AAUCUCGUAGCUUAUUUGGCUAGAGCACUGUUUAUACUUAAAACUUUCAAGUUUCUGGUGUGGGUUUGAAUCCCACCGAGUCUA
rnacentral:tRNA from 1 species